GACGAACGCUGGCUGCGUGCUUAACACAUGCAAGUCGAACGCUGAAACCCUGGUGCUUGCACCGGGGUGGAUGAGUGGCGAACGGGUGAGUAACACGUGAGUAACCUGCCCCCGACUUCGGGAUAAGCCCGGGAAACUGGGUCUAAUACCGGAUAUGAGCGCCCCUCGCAUGAGGGAUGCUGGAAAGUCUUUUCGGUUGGGGAUGGGCUCGCGGCCUAUCAGUUUGUUGGUGAGGUAAUGGCUCACCAAGACGACGACGGGUAGCCGGCCUGAGAGGGCGAGCAGCCAGACUGGGACUGAGACACGGCCCAGACUCCUACGGGAGGCAGCAGUGGGGAAUAUUGCACAAUGGGGGAAACCAUGAUGCAGCGACGCAGCGUGCGGGAUGACGGCCUUCGGGUUGUAAACCGCUUUCAGCAGGGAAGAAGCCCCUUGGGGUGACGGUACCUGCAGAAGAAGUACCGGCUAACUACGUGCCAGCCGCCGCAGUAA
rnacentral:rRNA from 1 species